CGAAGAUCCCAGACACCGGGUAGGCCCUUGACAAAUGGGACCUGAAGGUGGGGUCUGGGGUGUCUGCCUACAGUCAGGUGGGGCCUGCGGAAUGGCCCUGUGUCAGGCUUGGCCGAGGAUCCUCACUUACAGCCCACCCAGUCCUAGCUGUACCCAGACCCUUGAAGGGGCCCAGGGAGCCCCACUGGGACAGACCCCACUCCCCUGGCCUCCCCUGCUGUGUUCCUGUGUGCUGACUGGCUUCUGUACUCCAGGACCCUUCUUCCCUGAGGGCCCUCCCUCCUGCUGCCCACUGCCUGAGGACCUUGCCUGGCCAGUGCCAGGUCUCUGCUCCUUCAUCAGCCUCUCAGGGACAUACCCCUGUCCUGCCACCUCCCAGUGGCCCUGUGACACCAUCCCAGGCACCAACAGUUGGCUCUGGGGUUCCUCCCUGUCAGUCUUCUCCAUGGGGAGACUGCUGACCCUGUCCACCACCUGCAUGGUGUCUGCUCACCAGGGGCACUUGGACCACACUUGCUGGGCAGCAGGGCCGUUCCUGUGGUUGGGAGGGCCAGCCUGUUGUGCAGGGUCCUCUGUGUGGCCCCCCUGGACUGAUU
rnacentral:lncRNA from 1 species